UGAGCUAGCGGCGGACGGGUGAGUAAUGCUUAGGAAUCUGCCUAUUAGUGGGGGACAACAUUCCGAAAGGAAUGCUAAUACCGCAUACGCCCUACGGGGGAAAGCAGGGGAUCUUCGGACCUUGCGCUAAUAGAUGAGCCUAAGUCAGAUUAGCUAGUUGGUGGGGUAAAGGCCUACCAAGGCGACGAUCUGUAGCGGGUCUGAGAGGAUGAUCCGCCACACUGGGACUGAGACACGGCCCAGACUCCUACGGGAGGCAGCAGUGGGGAAUAUUGGACAAUGGGCGCAAGCCUGAUCCAGCCAUGCCGCGUGUGUGAAGAAGGCCUUUUGGUUGUAAAGCACUUUAAGCGAGGAGGAGGCUACUUGGAUUAAUACUCUAGGAUAGUGGACGUUACUCGCAGAAUAAGCACCGGCUAACUCUGUGCCAGCAGCCGCGGUAAUACAGAGGGUGCGAGCGUUAAUCGGAUUUACUGGGCGUAAAGCGUGCGUAGGCGGCUUUUUAAGUCGGAUGUGAAAUCCCUGAGCUUAACUUAGGAAUUGCAUUCGAUACUGGGAAGCUAGAGUAUGGGAGAGGAUGGUAGAAUUCCAGGUGUAGCGGUGAAAUGCGUAGAGAUCUGGAGGAAUACCGAUGGCGAAGGCAGCCAUCUGGCCUAAUACUGACGCUGAGGUACGAAAGCAU
rnacentral:rRNA from 1 species